rnacentral:tRNA from 1 species
AGGCUUGUAGCUCAUCAGUAGGGCUCCUGCUUUGCAUGCGGGAGUCCCCGGGUUUGAUUCCCGGCAUCCCCC